GAGACGGAUGACCUCGUCAGCGUCGCCGGAGCGGGAGAAGGAUGUCAUGAGGGCGUUGUAGGCUGAGGGGUGGCGGCGGGAGGGACUGGAGCCAGGGGAGGGGAGAGGGGAAGCAGGGCGGCAUCGGGAGAAUUCAGCGACCGCGGCGCAGAAAGCGGAGACCUUGGCGUCGGAGGAGAGUUCUGGAGAAGGUGGGGGAGGAAGGAAUUUUUGGAUGACAUGGGGAGAUGGCUUAACGGCUCGGGCGAAUGGGCGACGACGGCGGCUAACGGCUCGGGCAGCGGCAGAGGGAGAAGGGGAAUUAGAGAUCCAUGGCAUGGAAAUAGAAUUGAAGCAAUGACAGAAAAGGCUGCAACAGGGGUUUUAGGGGUUCUCUUGCAGUGUUCGAGAAGGGCAGACAUAUUCUCUGUCGAUGGCGUGGGCCGCGUGGCUUCGAGGCUUCCUGCCAGCCCUCCGUGGAUCCAGAAGAGAAGAGGGAAUAGAAGGGGAAGAAGCAGAUCAAAAAUGCAAGCUUGCGCUCUUUGCACCUCCAUGUUCAGGACGUCGAUGGUUACGAUGAAGAUUUCCGCCCCUCACGCUCUAAGUUUGUGCAGACGGGAUGCAAGAACAAUUCGGAUGAGAUCUCUUGUGUCUCAGUUUACACGUGGAGUAUCAAGAAGGGAAGUUGUUGGUGUUGCUGCUUUGAUUUUCUCUAACCCUGCUCUUUCAUUGCCGCUGCAAGAGGCAAAGGACUCUGAGAACAUCCGAAUCUCUAGGUACCGGAAGCUAGAGAGUGGUGUGAAAAUCCAAGAUAUCAUUGAAGGGGAAGGUCCAGAAGCACAUGAAGGAGAUCUUGUUGAAUUUAAUUAUGUUUGCCGAAGAUCAAACGGGUACUUUGUGCACAGCACAGUUGACCAAUUCAGUGGGGAGAGCAGUCCUGUGGUGCUUCCCCUCGAUGGGAAACAGAUUAUAGAGGGCCUUAAAGAUGUUAUAGUUGGCAUGAAAGCUGGAGGGAAACGUAGAGCUUUGAUUCCCCCAAAUGUUGGUUAUAUAAAUGAAAACCUAAAACCAAUACCUGAUGAGUUUGGUCCCCGGAGAAGUCUCUUGUCUCAUGCAAGCGAGCCAUUGGUUUUUGAGGUUCAGCUCUUGAAGGUGCUGUGAGAACCAAACUAUUAUUCAGACAACAGGUUGUGACCAGGGAAUUGCAUAAGCAUUUCAAGCUUCCAAUGCAGUCCAUAUUUGAUGUCAACAGCUUUGUUUGCUGGUAAAGGUAGAAUAUAAGAUGGGAAUGGAUAGAAAACAUACGAAGAAUGGAUGAAACUUAAAUGUUUCUUGAGUUAUUUAUUGGAGGAGAUGGAAAAGUUUAUUUAGUUAUUUUAUUUAUUUGGGAGGAAAAGUAGAAGGGUGGGAAGUUAAAUAUAUGCUAAAAUGGCAUAAAUGUCUCUGAGAGGUUGCAAUUUCGAAUAUGUAAUUGCAGAUUUGAUAUUCAUUGGGGAUAACAAAAAUUGAGAAUAAACAGUGUGAAUGUUGAUAUGGUAUGUUUUGAGUGGUUAAUAUAGAAGUCAAGGUUUAUAAGAAGUAUGUGAGGUAAGUGUUUUUUCGGGAGGGAUGGAUUAGCCGUUUGUCUUCUUAACAAUUAUUUCUGCCCACAUUUGAAAGGAAUCCAAAUUGAGAUAAAAUUUGACAAUUUAUUGGCUUUUUGUUAGUGUUUCCAUCCAAAUAAAUUACGAAAAAAAAAGCAUAUGCUACUUUACAUCCGAUUGUUUUCUGUCUUAUUUCCUUCAUGACUAGUUUACAUGAGGAUACUGAGCUAAUUUC